AUUGAACGCUGGCGGCAGGCCUAACACAUGCAAGUCGAACGGUAACAGGAAGCAGCUUGCUGCUUUGCUGACGAGUGGCGGACGGGUGAGUAAUGUCUGGGAAACUGCCUGAUGGAGGGGGAUAACUACUGGAAACGGUAGCUAAUACCGCAUAACGUCGCAAGACCAAAGAGGGGGACCUUCGGGCCUCUUGCCAUCGGAUGUGCCCAGAUGGGAUUAGCUUGUUGGUGGGGUAACGGCUCACCAAGGCGACGAUCCCUAGCUGGUCUGAGAGGAUGACCAGCCACACUGGAACUGAGACACGGCCCAGACUCCUACGGGAGGCAGCAGUGGGGAAUAUUGCACAAUGGGCGCAAGCCUGAUGCAGCCAUGCCGCGUGUAUGAAGAAGGCCUUCGGGUUGUAAAGUACUUUCGGCGGGGAGGAAGGGAGUAAAGUUAAGACCUUUACUCAUUGACGUUACCCGCAGAAGAAGCACCGGCUAACUCCGU
rnacentral:rRNA from 1 species